rnacentral:lncRNA from 1 species
AUCGUUACACAACAUAUUUUCCUCAUUUACCAGCCCACUAGUAUCCAUGGGGAUCCAUAGGGGUCCCGCUACCCGUUAACCCUUAACACUUGAAAUCAUAUUCCAGGGCCGUCCCCAUACCCCGUCCGGUAUGGGCGCCAAACCAUAGACCUCAUUAUCCCGUCCGGUAUGAGGGUGAAACGGGCCGUCCCCAUACCCUGUCCGGUAUGGGCGCCAAAACACAUAAGAUCUCCAUACCCCGUCCGGUAUGGGAGACCACAAUCCCGGUAGGGUUCCCUACGGACCCGGUCCGUCCACCAUCUCCCAGGAUAUCUAGUCAGGCUGAACACAUUAUACAAUUUCCAUUUACAUAAUCUUUCAUUCUCCUUUUCCCUCAAUCAGCAUUAUCAAUCACAUACAAACAAGCAAAACGAUAAUUUAUGCCAAACAGACAACAUAC